rnacentral:rRNA from 1 species
GUGCAGUCGAGCGGACAGAAGGGAGCUUGCUCCCGGAUGUUAGCGGCGGACGGGUGAGUAACACGUGGGUAACCUGCCUGUAAGACUGGGAUAACUCCGGGAAACCGGAGCUAAUACCGGAUAGUUCCUUGAACCGCAUGGUUCAAGGAUGAAAGACGGUUUCGGCUGUCACUUACAGAUGGACCCGCGGCGCAUUAGCUAGUUGGUGGGGUAAUGGCUCACCAAGGCGACGAUGCGUAGCCGACCUGAGAGGGUGAUCGGCCACACUGGGACUGAGACACGGCCCAGACUCCUACGGGAGGCAGCAGUAGGGAAUCUUCCGCAAUGGACGAAAGUCUGACGGAGCAACGCCGCGUGAGUGAUGAAGGUUUUCGGAUCGUAAAGCUCUGUUGUUAGGGAAGAACAAGUGCGAGAGUAACUGCUCGCACCUUGACGGUACCUAACCAGAAAGCCACGGCUAACUACGUGCCAGCAGCCGCGGUAAUACGUAGGUGGCAAGCGUUGUCCGGAAUUAUUGGGCGUAAAGGGCUCGCAGGCGGUUUCUUAAGUCUGAUGUGAAAGCCCCCGGCUCAACCGGGGAGGGUCAUUGGAAACUGGGAAACUUGAGUGCAGAAGAGGAGAGUGGAAUUCCACGUGUAGCGGUGAAAUGCGUAGAGAUGUGGAGG